rnacentral:rRNA from 1 species
ACCCGCUGAACUUAAGCAUAUCAAUAAGCGGAGGAAAAGAAACUAACAAGGAUUCCCCUAGUAACGGCGAGCGAAGCGGGAAUAGCUCAAAUUUAAAAGCUGGCGGGUUCCCCGUCCGCAUUGUAGUCUAAAGAAGCGUUUUCGGCGGCUGUCCAGGUAUAAAUCCUUUGGAACAGGGUAUCAUAGAGGGUGAGAAUCCCGUCUUUGACCUGGUACGUGCUGCUAUGUGAUACGCUUUCUAAGAGUCGGGUUGUUUGGGAAUGCAGCCCAAAAUGGGUGGUAAAUUUCAUCUAAGGCUAAAUAUUGGCGAGAGACCGAUAGCGAACAAGUACCGUGAGGGAAAGAUGAAAAGAACUUUGAAAAGAGAGUUAAACAGUACGUGAAAUUGUUGAAAGGGAAACGCUUGAAACCAGUCAUGCCGGCGGGAAAUCAGCCAGGCCUUCGGGCACGGUGCACUUUUCCGCCGGCAGGCCAGCAGCAGUUUUGGCCGCCGGAAAAGGAUCAGGGGAAUGUGACUCCUUUCGGAGUGUUAUAGCCCCUGGUUACUACGGUGGCCGGGACUGAGGAACGCAGCCAACCCUUCUGGGGCUGGGUGCUCGCCUGCUGCGCUCCUACUCAUGGGCGGAAAGCUUGCUUUCCGACUAUGUGUUAGGGGGCACUCGGGUGAAGCAUCUCACGAUGGCUAAGGUUGCUGGCGUAAUGGUUUUAAACGACCCGUCUUGAAACACGG